rnacentral:rRNA from 1 species
AUUGAACACUGGCGGCAUGCUUUACACAUGCAAGUCGAACGGUAACAGGUCUUCGGAUGCUGACGAGUGGCGAACGGGUGAGUAAUACAUCGGAACGUGCCUAGUAGUGGGGGAUAACUACUCGAAAGAGUAGCUAAUACCGCAUGAGAUCUACGGAUGAAAGCAGGGGACCUUCGGGCCUUGUGCUACUAGAGCGGCUGAUGGCAGAUUAGGUAGUUGGUGGGGUAAAGGCUUACCAAGCCUGCGAUCUGUAGCUGGUCUGAGAGGACGACCAGCCACACUGGGACUGAGACACGGCCCAGACUCCUACGGGAGGCAGCAGUGGGGAAUUUUGGACAAUGGGCGAAAGCCUGAUCCAGCAAUGCCGCGUGCAGGAUGAAGGCCCUCGGGUUGUAAACUGCUUUUGUACGGAACGAAAAGCCUGGGGCUAAUAUCCCCGGGUCAUGACGGUACCGUAAGAAUAAGCACCGGCUAACUACGUG